GUUAUAUGGUCAAGUGAAUAAGCGUGCACGGUGGAUGCCUUGGCAGUCAGAGGCGAUGAAGGACGUUGUAACCUGCGAUAAGCCUCGGGGAGUCGGUAAACAGACUUUGAUCCGAGGAUUUCCGAAUGGGGAAACCCACCCGCUUGCGGGUAUCUCUUCACUGAAUACAUAGGUGUAGAGAGGCGAACCCGGGGAACUGAAACAUCUAAGUACCCGGAGGAAAAGAAAUCAACCGAGAUUCCCUUAGUAGCGGCGAGCGAACGGGGAGCAGCCCUUAAGCUGUGUUGUGGUUAGUGGAACACUCUGGAAAGUGUGGCCAUAGUGGGUGAUAGCCCCGUACACGAAAACCUAUACGCAGUGAAAUCGAGUAGGACGGGACACGUGUUAUCCUGUCUGAAUAUGGGGGGACCAUCCUCCAAGGCUAAAUACUCCUGACUGACCGAUAGUGAACCAGUACCGUGAGGGAAAGGCGAAAAGAACCCCUGUGAGGGGAGUGAAAUAGACCCUGAAACCGUGUACGUACAAGCAGUGGGAGCCGUUUUCGGACGGUGACUGCGUACCUUUUGUAUAAUGGGUCAGCGACUUACUUUCAGUGGCAAGCUUAACCGUAUAGGGGAGGCGUAGGGAAACCGAGUCUUAAUAGGGCGCCAAGUCGCUGGGAGUAGACCCGAAACCGGGCGAUCUAUCCAUGGGCAGGUUGAAGAUUGAGUAACAUCAAUUGGAGGACCGAACCGACUGUCGUUGAAAAGCCAGCGGAUGACCUGUGGAUCGGAGUGAAAGGCUAAUCAAGCCCGGAGAUAGCUGGUUCUCCUCGAAAGCUAUUUAGGUAGCGCCUCAUGUCUCACCUUGGGGGGUAGAGCACUGUUUCGGCUAGGGGGUCAUCCCGACUUACCAACCCGAUGCAAACUCCGAAUACCCAAGAGUGCAAUCAUGGGAGACACACGGCGGGUGCUAACGUCCGUCGUGGAAAGGGAAACAACCCAGACCGCCAGCUAAGGUCCCAAAGUUCUAGUUAAGUGGGAAACGAUGUGGGAAGGCUUAGACAGCUAGGAGGUUGGCUUAGAAGCAGCCAUCCUUUAAAGAAAGCGUAAUAGCUCACUAGUCGAGUCGGCCUGCGCGGAAGAUAUAACGGGGCUCAAACUAGACACCGAAGCUGCGGAUGCCUUAGGGCAUGGUAGAGGAGCGUUCUGUAAGCCGUUGAAGCGGAAGCCGAGAGGCACCGUGGAGGUAUCAGAAGUGCGAAUGCUGACAUGAGUAACGAUAAAGGGGGUGAAAAACCCCCUCGCCGGAAGACCAAGGGUUCCUAUCCAACGUUAAUCGGGGUAGGGUGAGUCGGCCCCUAAGGCGAGGCUGAAAAGCGUAGUCGAUGGGAAACAGGUUAAUAUUCCUGUACCGCGCAUAACUGCGACGGGGGGACGGAGAAGGCUAGGCCAGCGCGGCGUUGGUUGUCCGCGUUUAAGGGUGUAGAUUGAGGACUUAGGCAAAUCCGGGUCCUUAAGAUCGAGACCUGAUGACGAAGCUCUUUAUGAGCUGAAGUGGUUGAUGCCAGGCUUCCAGGAAAAUCCUCUAAGCUUCAGGUUAUGUGUGACCGUACCCGAAACCGACACAGGUGGUCAGGUUGAGAAUACCAAGGCGCUUGAGAGAACUCGGGUGAAGGAACUAGGCAAAAUGGUGCCGUAACUUCGGGAGAAGGCACG
rnacentral:rRNA from 1 species